rnacentral:rRNA from 1 species
AGAGUUUGAUCCUGGCUCAGAGCGAACGCUGGCGGCAUGCUUAACACAUGCAAGUCGCACGAGGGGCAACCCUAGUGGCGGACGGGUGAGUAACGCGUAGGUAUCUGUCCAUGGGUGGGGGAUAACGGCUGGAAACGGCUGCUAAUACCGCAUGACACCUGAGGGUCAAAGGCGCAAGUCGCCGAUGGAGGAGCCUGCGU